GAAUGCUGGACCCGGUAUUUAGCCCAAGGUUGGGUGUCACUUGCUGAGACCAGCUCAGUCUUGGAGACACAAACCAAGCAGUGCUAGAGGAAUAAAGACACAGACACAGAAAUAGAGUUCAAAAUGGGAUCAGGGGAUAACCGCCUUAACAGCUGAGAGCCUGGAACAAAGUUUGAUCCACCUAUUUAUUGACAGUAGGCCCAUGAUAAACAUCAUUUCUGCAGUUAAUAGAUUAACUAGAAUUAUUUUUUACAAAGAAGAAAGGGACAUGCUCUAGCUUGUUAUCUGCAGUAGAAGCAUGUCCUUAAGGCACAGAUCACUCAUGCCAUUGUUUGUGAUUUAGAAACACCUUAAGCAGUUUUCUACUCUGGGUGGGCCAAAUAUUACUUGCCCUCAUUCUGGUAAACCAGCAACUUCCAGCACAGGCAUCAUAGCAAUCACAAGCAUGUCACAGUGAUGCAGAGAUCUUAUUUAUGGCCAGUUUGUCCUGGUCUCUUCGAGGCCAGUCUUGGGGUGUGUUCCCAGCAGUUCUUAACAAUUGCUCUACUGUGAUUUUUAGAUAGACUCCACUUGUUUCCCACGGUUACUCUCUCUACCAGGUGGGGCUUCCUGCAGAACCACACUACCUCAGAAGCUACCGGGCUGUUUGCUUAUCAGUGCUGCUGGGUUAGAGUCUCUGUGACCAAGCUGGUCUCGGCAAGUGGUGCCCAAAUGUAGGGCUCAAAGCUGGGUCAGAGAGUCACCAGAAGAAAAGUUGGAGAAUGUGGAACUAUACUGGAAGACACUCUGCUUUUAAGCAAUCCCUGUGGUGAAGUUGCAGGACCAAUCCACUCCUCACUAGAUGAUAUUUUUACUCUUAUCUGACCUUAUUGCUGCUCACACUUUAUGUCCCAGGAUGGAAAGAUGAUGGAGGAGUGCCCCCUUAUAAUAGGAAGCACCUGCUUGACUGGAAACCAAAUUCGAGGUAAAUUCAAGGGGCUGUGUG